AACGAACGCUGGCGGCAUGCCUAACACAUGCAAGUCGAACGAGACCUUCGGGUCUAGUGGCGCACGUGUGCGUAACGCGUGGGAAUCUGCCCUUGGGUUCGGAAUAACAGUUGGAAACGACUGCUAAUACCGGAUGAUGACGUAAGUCCAAAGAUUUAUCGCCCAAGGAUGAGCCCGCGUAGGAUUAGCUAGUUGGUGAGGUAAAGGCUCACCAAGGCGACGAUCCUUAGCUGGUCUGAGAGGAUGAUCAGCCACACUGGGACUGCGACACGGCCCAGACUGCGACGGGAAGCAGGAGUGGGGAAUAUUGGACGAGGGGCGAAAGCCUGAUCCAGCAAUGCCGCGGGAGAGAUGAAGGCCUUAGGGUUGUAAAGCUCUUUUACCCGGGAUGAUAAUGACAGUACCGGGAGAAUAAGCACCGGCUAACUACGUG
rnacentral:rRNA from 1 species